GACGAAGGGGGCUAGCGUUGUUCGGAAUUACUGGGCGUAAAGCGCGCGUAGGCGGUGAUCUUUGUCAGAGGUGAAAUCCCGAGGCUCAACUUCGGAAUUGCCUUUGAAACGGGAUCGCUUGAGUCCGAGAGAGGAUGGCGGAAUUCCUAGUGUAGAGGUGAAAUUCGUAGAUAUUAGGAAGAACACCGGUGGCGAAGGCGGCCAUCUGGCUCGGUACUGACGCUCAGGCGCGAAAGCGUGGGGAGCAAACAGG
rnacentral:rRNA from 1 species